rnacentral:rRNA from 1 species
CCUACGGGAGGCUGCAGUGGGGAAUAUUGCACAAUGGGCGAAAGCCUGAUGCAGCGACGCCGCGUGAGGGAUGACUGCCUUCGGGUUGUAAACCUCUUUCAGCAGGGACGCGGUACCUGCAGAAGAAGCACCGGCCAACUACGUGCCAGCAGCCGCGGUAAUACGUAGGGUGCAAGCGUUGUCCGGAAUUAUUGGGCGUAAAGAGCUCGUAGGCGGUUUGUCACGUCGGCUGUGAAAACCUGGGGCUCAACUCCGGGCCUGCAGCCGAUACGGGCAGACUAGAAUUCGGUAGGGGAGACUGGAAUUCCUGGUGUAGCGGUGAAAUGCGCAGAUAUCAGGAGGAACACCGGUGGCGAAGGCGGGUCUCUGGGCGAAUUGACGCUGAGGAGCGAAAGCGUGGGGAGCGAACAGGAUUAGAUACCCUUGUAGUC